UAGCAUAAUCAUUAGUUUUUUAAUUGAAGACUGGAAUGAAAGGUUUAAUAAGAAAUAUUCUUUAUUUAUAAAAAAUUAUUGAAUUUGUUUUUUUAGUAAAAAAACUAAAAUUAAAAAAAAAGACGAUAAGACCCUAUAAAGCUUUAUAAAAAUAAAAUUAGAUUUUAUUUGGAAUAUUUUUAUUUUUAAUUUUUAUUUAUUAAAUUGGGGUGAUUUUAAGAUUUAAUAAACUCUUAAAAAAAUUUUUAAUUAUCUUUAAUUUUAAUUUUGAUCUUAAUAAUUUUUUAGAUUAAAAAAUUAAGUUACUUUAGGGAUAACAGCGUAAUUUUUUUAAAGAGUUCAAAUCGAUAAAAAAGAUUGCGACCUCGAUGUUGAAUUAAGAAAAAUUUUGGGUGUAGAAGUUCAAAUUUU
rnacentral:rRNA from 1 species